UACGGGGGGGGCAAGCGUUGUUCGGAAUUACUGGGCGUAAAGGGCUCGUAGGCGGCCAACUAAGUCAGACGUGAAAUCCCUCGGCUUAACCGGGGAACUGCGUCUGAUACUGGAUGGCUUGAAUCCGGGAGAGGGAUGCGGAAUUCCAGGUGUAGCGGUGAAAUGCGUAGAUAUCUGGAAGAACACCCGUGGCGAAAGCGGCUCUCUGGAACGGUACUGACGCUGAGACGCGAAAGCGUGGGGAGCGAACAGG
rnacentral:rRNA from 1 species